rnacentral:tRNA from 1 species
GGCAGUAUGGCCUAAUGGACAGAGCACAUGUCUGGGAGUCAUAAGGUUAUGAGUUCUAAUCCCAACUUUGCCA